CUGCAUUAUGCUGUAUUAUGAGCCGGUAUUUACCAUCUGGCCCAAUCACAGUAACAAGCUGAGCACUUCUGAAUAAAAGACAUUUUUCCUCAAAAUUUAUACUGCCUCCAGUGCCAGUAUUCUCUAUGGACCCUGAGCACAUAAUUAUUUCAUGGGGUAUCCUGCACAUAGAUCCAAGCAGAUGCCGGGACAUCCUGCAGAAGUACCCACUGAGGGUUUAGGCUUUCCAAGGCACACAGGUCGUGCUUGACAUCUGGUUGCUGCAAAGACUAACACAAAAAUGUAUGAGAAAUUUAAUCGUGUUCCAAGAGCUGCAUCCCCGUUGAGCUGUGAACCCAGGCUUCCUUUGGCCUUUUUUGUGUGACAGUAUCUGUCGAACAACUUCUUCAAGAUGUCUCCUGGCAGCUUCUACCGGAUGCAUGCCAUUAUCUACUGUGCUGUCUCCUUGGGAAGGACCUCCACAUCCAACAGGUCAUGCAUUCUGUCAGCCAUAUCAGCUUGCCUAAGAAAGAUCCUGCCACUCCAUGUGAACUUGCUCUCCUGAAUGCUGUAAACCACCAGCACUCACAAAGGCACAAAUGUCAUGCACCUUUCUGAGAUGUUCCUGUCCAGCUCCAGGUUUCCCUCUCUCUUUCAGUCUUCAUGCUUCCUUCACACAACAAGGUUUUCACUUUCUUUCUGUUUCCCUUUAGUGCCACUCUUUUAGCCAAGUUAUUCUUCACCCUCCCAUCUUCUCCUAACUGACACAUCUGUUCACAUGCUCAAACUAUCACUUCUUUGAGGAAAUGCCAGUUCUCCCUCACUUCUUUUCUUUCUUCUCUACCAUGGAAUCUGUCAAGAGUAGUUUUCUCCAUUCAUUUAUCCUCAGAUACGCAGUCCUUGAUGAGAAGCUCGGCGUAGGUCCCAGGGGCAUACUUUGUUAUUAUUAUUUUCAUAAAGAACAACAACAACAACAAAAAUAUCCAGACACAAGUUAAAAAUUGUAAAUCUUUCGCUUGUCUUUAUCGGAGAUUCCAUAUAGACUGGGGAAAUCUUCAGCCUGAGCCUUGGAGAUGAACAAAUAAAAAAAUCAAAUACAAAUUCAAUAAAUAAUAUAAUGAGCUCUUCAAACCUUCUGGAAAAGUUUAAUAAAUCCGAGAUACUUAGACACAUGUUUACCAUAUAACUAUUUGUAGGAACAUGGUACGUAUCAAAAAGUAAAAUGUACUUGCAUUCCUGUAGAGACAUAUUCUAAGGUGUGAGAAGAUUGUCCCAGUCAACAAAUGUCCUUCGCUUUCAAAGGCUGAACUAUUUUCUCAUAUAAAUAAAAGGACAAGCCAAUAAGUGAUGGUUAUUUCAGUGGAGAAAAGUAACAGCUAAUCCUGGAGUUGAUUUUUCAUCUCAGACUGCAUUUGACAGCUUUGAAUUCAUCCUAAUUGUGAAAAAACACAAGAUGGUUAAAACAUCCUGUGUAAACAAGAAUGAAGACAUUGAUUGAAAUAAGCUUUUGGAAAGAGGCUGUUGUUUGUAACACAAAGAAAUAGAAGAUUAUAUCCCAAAAGAAAAGUGUUCAAUGUUAUUAAAAUUAUAUUUCCAAUUUCUUUCCUUCCGUUGAUUUUUUUUUUAAUUGGAGGGCCAAAAUAUCCUCAGGACAGCGAGCUGCAGUCAGCAUUUUGCAAGAAGAAUCUUUCCAUUGGAAGACUUCCAACCAGGUCUCCAUUUCAGUUCUGCAGAACAUAUAAUUGAUUUUUCCAUAUAGUUAUAGUCUAUUAGAUGCAUUUAAAUCUUUACAUUGCUGCCUGUUUGAUGUGGGCGACGUAUUUUAUCCACUGUAAAUGGUAAUUUCUUCUUUCCAGUUUUCUAGGUGGAAUUCUGCAGUUACUAUUCACAAGCUAAGGUCCAGACUUUGGUGUUGGAAUUCUUGCUCUUUCACUGUGGCAUAACCUACCUAUGCUUGCAGCCACACAACUGUUGGGGUGACAGCAUGCACACAAACAGCUAUUCUGUAUGAGAACACCAGGCAUAGCAACACUCUUGCUCAUCUAUACGAACAAGUGAACUGACACCACAUUCAGUUUUUCACUAAAGCAAUUGUAUCUAGAAAUUAUGUGUCUGCUCUACUGUGAACCUCCCUUCAUACACACAAUGAAAAAUCCCAAAUCUUUCUGAGGUUCUAAAAAGGAUUAAAAAAAAACCCUCUUUCUUCCAGUUCAUUGUUGGAUAUGUUAACCAGGAUCAGAGAUGUUCCCAUGAAGUUAAAAACGGGAACUGAAGACUGAAGAGCUACAGCUGUUUCAAGUGCUGUCAGCCACAGGAUGGAAACACCUGGGAAAGCACUGUAGAUGCCAGCAGUCACCAUGGCCUGGUGGUGCCCCACAGCUUGGUUGGAUCCCACAGGGGUGCAGGAAGAUGCCGAAAAAGCUCUGACCCAUGCAGGUUGUGCUUACUGCUUAGAGAAACUGGAUAGGUAAACACCAAGACAGAAUAAAGCAUUUUUCUUUUAAUCAUUUAAGUUUGCAUGUCAGUACUUUGAAGUUUAAAUCAAACAUUGAAGGGCAAUCAUUUUCUGCAUGGCAACACACAUUUUGGGAAAAACUGUGGGUCUGUGGAUCAAUUACAUGCUUAUCUGACCAAAGCAAUCGACACAGACCUGCAAAAUGUGGCCUCGGUUGGGUCUGGAGCUGCAGAUGUCAGAGCUGUCCCAGCACCACAGGGGCUUUGCAUCUUUGCCUCCUGCAUGCUCAGUAUCCUAUGGCACAUCCUCUCAGCCACUGCUUCUGCA
rnacentral:lncRNA from 1 species